UAAGACAUCCUAGGUACAUGCCAUUAUCAAACAAUUAACAUGCUUUACCUUAUUGAGUUCGGGAUCGGCCUAAGAUGCUGAUUCAACGGUCUGACCUUAACCAAACCUACGCACGGAAACAAACUGAACGCUGAGUAUGAACUCGUGGUAUUUCUAUAAUCCAAACACUUAAAAACAUAUAUUGAUCAUAAAUAUUCAAUUAUUCGUUUCAUGGGUAAAUUCUUUAUAACUCAUUUAAUUCUUAUCAUCUAUUAAUCUGAUUAGCUUUCCAAAAUAAAUUCAUAAGAACAAUAAUAUUUUCCAUUCAUAUCUAAUUCUGAGUUACUUAAUUCAUAUGUCUCACUCAUUCUUCAGUUCACUAUUCAGUAACAUUAAUAACAUUCAACUAUCACAUUUCAAUUAGUAUUCAGUACUUAUCCAUUUUAGUAACAGUCAGUCAUCAGUAAUAAUCAGUAAUUUAGUAAUAGUCAAUUAGUCAGUAGCAGUCAAUUACUCAGUACCUUUAUUUUCCUCUGUUAACAUGACUCGGACGAAUACACGGAUCCAACCCACACAUCGGGAUAGUAUACAAUAUUUCAUCAGCCGGAGCCGGAAUACACCGUAACGGUAACAGUAACAAUAACAAUAACAGUAGCGGUACACAGAGUACCUCAUCGGAACAAAUCCGAAACUGUAACAGUAAGGCGACACUUAUAGUGUCUCAUCGACACAAAGUCAGAUUAUCCCUGAACACUUCCAAUCCUAUGACAUGCCAACUAUAUUCGACUUAGCCCGAUACUGUUAAUAGGGUUUUCGUUUCACUUUCUUAAUUCAAUAUCACUUUCAAUUUAUUUAUCAUCAAUUCAAUAAAUUUAACACAUUCUAAAUCAAUCCAUUUCAAUCAUAAAAUACACUAAUUCAUAAUUUAAUUACUUACCAUAAUAUUUAAUCAAAAUGCAAUAAUUAACAAUCAAUUUCACCUUUCAAUGGAUUACCCUACGCAUGAUAUAAUAAAUUCAACAAUUAAAUAUUAAGUUCGGAUUAUAGAAACACAAACCGUAAUUUCCGAGAUAACCCUCGUUGACUUCGUCUUUUCCUAUCUUAGUCGAGUUUUCCGGCACCCCAUUAGCUACAAAAUUAAUACAAUUCAUGAUCAUUAAUACAGUACAAUUUUCAUAUUAAAUGUUUCAAUUUUUAUUCAACUUUUGUCUAAAUUCUAAUUUAGCCCCUAAAUCGAGACUAACUUUAAAUUUCAAUUUAGCCCCUAAACCGAGACUAACUUUUAUUCUUCACAUUUAACUCAAUAUUUCCAUUAAAUUUUCAUUUUAAACUAAUAUCAAUUCUCUAAUUUCACCAUAGAACCAUAAUUUUGAAAUUCUUUCAAUUUAGUCCCUACUGUUCAAAACUUAUAAUGUACUUUACAAUUCCAUCCUUAUUUCACUUCUAACUUGAAAUUCUAUCAAUUUAACCCUUAAUUCUUCAAUUUAUUCAACAUGAAUCAUAUCUAGAAACCUAAUAACUUUCAAAAUAUCAACUUAAUUUCAUCAAAACCUUAUUCCAAGGCUUCUAAAACAUCAAAAUUAAGUAAAAAGGGGCUUGAUUGACUUACCUAUUAAAGUUUAAAGCUUCAAAACCAUAAUUUUCCCUUUUCUCCCUUUCUUCCUUUCUUUCCUUUCUUUCUCCCCUAUUCUUCUCUGUUUCGUUUGCUUUGUUUCUCUUAUUCAUUUCUUUUGUUUCCUUUUCAUUUAUUAUUUAUUAAACUAUAAUAAUAAUAGAAUAUACUUAUAUAAUAAGUAAACAUGUAUGUAUUUUACAAAUAUAUGUAUAACAAUUUUACACAUGUAAAUUAUUAUUACCGUACAUUUGUCACAAUUCAUUUUAUUUAUCAUAUAAAUAUCUUAUAAUAUAAUUAUAAUAAAUUAAUUUAAUAUAAUUUAUUACUAAUUCGUAUAUAUAUUUUAUAAUUAAAAUCUAAUUAAAAAUCUUAGAUUUUUACUUCUUAUGCCGCCUCAACUUAUACUAAUUAGCAUAUUUUCCAUUUUGAUCCUUUUUACUUUCUAUUAAUCUAUAAUUCAAUUUUUACCCCUUAUUGAAUUUAAUCCUUAUACCUAAUUAAUCCUAAUUUAAGCUAAUUCACUUAAUUAAGCUCUAAUUAACCACUCAAUUAACUUCAUAAAUAUUUUUAAUAAAUAUUUACGAAUCCAUUUUUCAGAGGCGAAGACCCAAAAAAAUACACUUUUUCGAUAACUGUAAAAAUUCGGGUUGUUACAUUUCUCCCCCUUAAUAAAUUUCGUCCUCGAAAUUUUCCAGAAGAGAGGUAAGGAUACAGGGAUCUCACUGUUUCUUUUGGUUCCCAUAUUGCUUCCUCAGUAUUAUAACUUCAACUUUCAAUCCAGUAUCUUAAUUGGUUCUUCUUCUUCAUACAAUGAAUCAGUUCAAAUUUCAAUAUCCUUUGUCAGGGUAACAUAUGGAAGAUCUGAUCUAUAUCUUUCGAGUACCAAAUCCUGAAAAACCUCAUAAAUUUUUCUGUAACUUCAAAAACAAUACCAACCAAUACGUUAUUAGUCUGACUUUUCUACAAUUUCAUAUAACCACAUAGAACGAGAGUUCAAUUUCCCUUUUGCAUCCUAACUUCAAAGUUUUCUUUCAAUGUGUAACUUUAAGAAAUACCUUGUCAUUAAUAGAAUACUUGAUAUCCCGACAUUUUAAAUCCACAUAUGAUUUUUGUUUGUCAAAUGUUGCUUUCAGUCUAUCUUGAAUUUUCUUGACAGUAUUCCUUGUUUCCUAAAUUAAUUCUAGCCCAAUCGUUUUUCUUUCACUCAAUACCCAUAUAGAAUUUAUGACAAUCAAAUGCCGGCUUUAAACUAUCUCGAAUCACUUCCACUUUCUUCAAUUUCACAAAUCAAACAACCCUGCAUAUUCUUUUUCUCACCAUAUUCAAUCAAAUACUGUACAGUUUUACAUUCACAAUCAUACAGAGUUGACUGUUAUCACGUACCCAAAACUUCUUGUACUUGUUCUAGAGUUAGAAUGUAAACCAUAUAUCUUAAUUAGAAAUAAUAAGUAAUAAAAAUUGGCAUACCAUGUAAUCUGACAUCUCAGAAGCUUAUAUUUCAGACAAUUAUUAAGUAAGAAAUUUAUUCAUACCGGAAUAAAAUAUGCAAACUUCGCCAUACCUUCAACAAUUAUUCAAAUAUCAUAUUUCUUUUUUGCAGAUCAAGAUAAUUCCAAUUCAAACCCAUAGAAAUUCUAUCCUAUUUCCAUUCUGGUAUCAUCACUGGCUAUAACAGUUCUGAAGGGAUCAGUAUCUGAUGUUCAGUUUUAUCUUGUUAACAUAUAAACAUUUCUGAGCUUUGCAGACCUGCUGUAGAGAGGUCAAUUUAUCUUUUGUCUUAACUACCCUUGAGCCAUCAUCAAGUAAUAACUCAUAGCUUAUAACACAUAUAAAACUCUCAAUUCGGACUAUACAUAACUUCAUUUGUCUUUCUCGGAUGAUAAUCAAUUAUCAUAUCUUGAUCUUUUAAUGUAAGGACAAUAGCUAUCACUUCUGAAUCAUAUAUCAGAUAAUUCUCUCCAUGUGAUUCUAACUUCCCAUAACAUAAACCAUUGGUUUACUUUCUUGCAUCAAAACACUGCCAUCCUUGUAAAUCACAAGUUUCUUUACCAAAUUUCAGACUAAACUAGAACUAGUGCUUUAAUUAAUUGAGCUUUCAACUAAUCAAAACAUUGCUAACAUUUAUCAUACCAUUCUAAUUCCACAUCUUUCUGUAAUAACCAUAUCAUCCAAAAAUCCUUUUCAAAUUUCUGGUAAUAACCUACUGGUCUCAGAAAACCUCUGAUUUCAGAUAUAUAUUUUCAGUAUCAUUUCAAGCAUAAGAUCUUUAGCCAAUUCAACUUUUCUAACCAACAAUAAUUUAAGUAACUCUUCUAGAAACACAUCAGAAUUGCCACUGAUUUGAACUUUGACUCAGAUAUUUUAAUAUCCAAUACAUAAGAAAAACAAGUACCAUAACCCUUUCCGGCACAUUUUUGAGUUGACAUGAUUAAUAUCACAAUAGACAAAUCAUUCAAUCUUCUUUGAUUCAAAACAAUACAUUUCAUCAUCCUGAAUUUGCAACAUAAUAUAUACUUUUUCUUGUAAUUUACCAUAACAUCAUGCAAAAAUUAACCAUUCCAUUCUCAAAAUCACAUCAAACAGUAAUAGCAUCAAAUCGAUCAGAAAACAGUACCCCAGUAUCAUUAUCAGACAGUUCCUACAAAUUUUAUCAACGAAUAAAUACUGAUUCGAAAAAUUUGAUUCUUCCACCCAAAAAUUCAAUGAAUUCAACAGGCAAAUCUUUAGUAGAUACUGAACUCAUGCAAUCAUAAAAAUAAGUCAAACUAAGAUCAAUUUAAAAUAUUCAUAUCAGUAUCGAUAAAGAAAAUAGUACCUGUAAUGACAUCCAAUAGAAAAAUAUCUUCAUGCAUACGAUUAACAUAUGCC
rnacentral:lncRNA from 1 species